rnacentral:tRNA from 1 species
AGUACAGUGGUUAAAGCUUUUGGCUGCUAACCAAAAGGUCAGUGGUUCAAACCCACU